GGCCCCAUCGUCUAGCGGUUAGGACAUCGGCCUCUCACGCCGGUAACACGAGUUCGAAUCUCGUUGGGGUCA
rnacentral:tRNA from 1 species